AUACUUACCUGACGAGGACCAUACUGGGAUCAGGCAGCCAGUGGGUCCAGAGCGAGGCUUUGCCAUUGCACAUCGGCUUAGCUGACCUUGGGAUUACCCCAAUGU
rnacentral:snRNA from 1 species